rnacentral:lncRNA from 1 species
ACCGAAGCUCAAAGUGCAAGUAAGAGGUAGUCUGAAUUUGUUUGCAAUGUAUGGUGGAGGUGUAGGAGAACAAAAUCGGCAACAGAUGUUGGGUGCAUCUUAAAUGGAAGGCUGCAUAUCGACUCUAGGUUGUCACGUCAUAAACCUCCAUCCUAGGACAUCUCAAUUUGAAGGUUACUUAGUAGGCAGUCUUCGUUUCACAUUCUUAAUUCAUCCUGUUUUAAAGGAUGCAUAAGGUGUACCUUUCGUGUCUUUCGAUCCACAAUUCUUAGCUCAAAUUCUGAAUUCACAAAAUUCAACAAAAAAAAACAACAAAAAAACCCCUAGAAAAUUAUUUGAUACCUAGCUUAUUCAAUUUCAUUAUAUUAUGCCUAAAAAUUAAAUUAAAUUUAAAUAAGUAAAAUUUAGAUGAAGUAAAUAGAAUACACAUAAUGCUAAACUGCUAAAUGUAUAAACAACUAGGAGACCAUUGGUUGUCAUUAACAGAAGAUGCAGUUCAUGUAAAACAUUUCAAUAUAAAGUGUCUUCAAAUUAUAAUUUAAGUAUUCUUGUUCCCUGUCCGCGGAGAACGAAACAUUUACAAGGUAUAGCUACAUUCGCACUUACUAGAUAGAUCGUCUUAUUCUAGCGUUUAAUGCUGAGCAGGACUCUAGCAUUGAAGGUUUAGGAAGAGCAUGUGAUCGCUUGCAUCCAGCUUUCUGUUUGACAAGCACCCAUAUUAUUUUUCUCUCUGUUGGUGGCGGUAAUGCACCUGCAACCGCGAAGGAACAGAAAAGAAGAAGAAGAAGCGGUCUCCACGCGCAGCGCCUUUAUUCACUCACUUAGCAGUGAAUCUUCUGAGGGCCCCUGUUACUUUGUUCCACUAUUACCCCUUGUCCAACGCCCCUGACUUUGAUGUUUAUGGUAAGAGAUUAUAUGCGAGUGCAGAAUUAUGUAUGCAUAAACUAAACAAAUAUUUAUGACAAGUGCAGAAUUUGUUUAUUGUCCAAAAGUUAUGGAAAAAUACAAAUAAAAUGCACUUCAUGUUACUUUAGAUUUGAGAAUAAUAAAGAUGAAGUUAAAUUACUUGGUUAUUAAACUUCUCCAUCUUUUUUCAGUAAAGCACCUAAAGCUGGUCUGCCAACUGCCAAUAAACAGAAGAGAAUAAGAUGCAUCACCACUAGCGCCCUCACACUCACUUUCUCAGAGUUGAGUCUUCUGAGGUAAGUUGAGCUGUUCAGUUUGUUCAGAUUGUAUUUAUACAAUCCAAAAACUACUUUUUAUGUAACAUUAUUGAUAUCAUUCUGUAUUGUUCAUCCUUCGAGUAAACCACC